rnacentral:pre_miRNA from 1 species
GGGAGAGGCCGGAUCUUGGGUGUCCUGGCGCCCUAUGCUCCCCGUCUGCGCUGUUGGAUUCGCACUCCCUGCUGCACAGCCGCCU